AGUAUGCUAUUAGCCAGCAGGCCCCUGUAGGGGAGAACUCCCCACGGUUUUACCCACAUAUCCUCUCUUCCCAAGGAGACCAAGCACCUCCGUUCAGCAUAAGUCAUGAGAGUCAAGCUUCUCUGAUGCCUCCUACUGCCUCCUUUGAUCAUACGCCCCCAACACCUUCUGGGCUUCUGCCUACACCCACAGUGGUCUCCUGGAAGAGCUGCUGAAUCAGUUCUCCAUCUCUGUUUCCACAUGCCUCAAUACAUCAGUGCGUCUAAUUCCAUUCAGGCACUCAGGAGGCCCUCAGUAAUGGCAACUCGGGACAUAAAGCCAAAGGCCUGCAUAAGACAAAGUCAAAAGUGAUGACUGACACUGCCCGUGCCCUGGACCUGAGAGGGACCCCAGAGCAACCUGACAAAGACAUGGUUAGGAAAGCCUGGAGAAUCAAUAAUAAAAGGGACUGCUCUCCACAGAGGUGGGGUAGCAGUGUAGCAGGACUGUGACCUGCUGCUAUAUGGUGAAAAACACUCAGGCUCAAAUAAACAAACCGGGAAAGUGGUCUCACCCAGUGACCUGUCUGGACUGUUUAACUGUCCUCAGGACGAGACUCUAUAAAACAGGGAAUAAUUUCCCUUCAACUCAGUGUCCUGGCUCUCACUACCUCGCCCCACAUCUUAGCAGUCACUUUUCCUGCAGCACUGCUCCUUUUGUUUUUAGUGACUGGGUUGCUAAGGUAUUGACCACAAAGACUAUGGGAAAAUGUGAGAAUGUGUCUUAAGUGAAAGCUCUGGUAGAAGUGAACCACCAUCCCAUCCCCCAGGCAGGACGGAAAGGGAUGAGAGACUAUUUUCACUGACACCCAGAGUGGAACAGAAAAGAAGGGCGUGCCCGCUUGGGAUCUUCUCGCUACCGUCCAGCACUGCCAUUUCGAAGAGAAAACACUCUGCUUGGGGCAGACAGCUGCAGAACCAUCCACAGGCCUGAGUGGGGACCUGCAGUGCACUGACUUCACACCGCUGGGAAAGUGCAAACCGAAUUUUGUCAAGCAGAAGGCAAACCUGUCCUAAGAGGAAAGAAAAACUUUUUUUUUUUGCUUGCUUUCAAAUUUUUAUGAGGGUAAUUGCAAACAAUAGAAUAGUUUGUCUCUUUCGUGUCCAGAAGGCAGAAAUACUUGGUAAGACUCUAAGGUAAUGGCACAUUAAUUAUAAAGUUACAGUGGAAUUCACAGGGCAGUACCCAUUACAGCCAUAUAAAUAUUUAACUUCUUUACCCCUAUCCAGAAAAACCAAUCUGAUGUUAGUUGGGCUAUGUUUUUUGAAUCACCAAAUGACAUAAGAGCACAUUUCCAAGUUAACAGAAAUAUGGAAGAUGUCAUUUUCAAACAGUUCUGUCAUUCAUAAUGGUUCUUAUCUCACAAUCAAGUUCAUUCAGGAUAAAGAUUUCCAUUUUGACACUUAAUGCCUGAAGGUUUUCCCUACUAGGAAAAGGAAGGAAGUUCAAGAAAAAUCCACUUAACCAUGCAUGGAAUUAUCAGUGGGAAAACAAUAUUCACUCUCCCACCCCUUCUUAUUUCAAUCUGAUUCUCUAGAUUAUGUGAGGGGAAGAGACAAGUCAAAUGAGAAAGUUGGUUUUAACUAUUCAAACAGAGUAAACCUGUACUAAAUUAUUAUGAGAAUUUUAACUCUGCUUGCUUCUAAUGCCUUAUUCUCAUUUAGCUUUAGAAGAUUUAUAAUCACAUCACCACCCCUGAGAGUAAUACAGACAUUAAGGACAUGGAUUUUUGAGCCAGGGAGCCAGGGACUCAAAUCCCAAUUCUAUUACUCAACUGUCAUGUGAUUUAACUCUGAGCCUCAAUUUUCUUAUCAGUAAAAUGGGGAUAAUAAUAAAAAGCUCAAGUAAUUUAAUUUUUUAAAAAAGAGAUGGGGGAUAUAAAAGCACUCAGCACAGCACCUGGCACAGAGUGAGAUUACUAACACACACAAUGCCACCACUACAGCUUCUGGCCAAACUGCAUACCACAAACCUUACAAAACAUAGCGAUAAGUAAAAAGCCCUCCCGUGGUCUUGAGAAUCUAAGAUUCUAGUUGCUGUCUCUAGGAAAAAUGGGCCUCUCCUUUUCCCAUGGGCCUUUAACAGAAACUGACACACAUAUAUCAGACAAAUAAUACACUGUGGGAUAACAUUCUGAGGCACACUGAUUGGGGAAAACAAGUAAAUAACAAGAAAUCAGGUGGCCACAGUGAGUCACUGUCCAACUUUUUAAGCCCUGUGGCCACAAUUUCUUUGAACAAAGCUAUCCAAAAGGGUCCAAAGUGAUGCUUAGAAUACUUUAACAUUGCCCAAGAGUCAAAUGGACUGAAUGAGUGUCUGAUCUGAACAUGGUACAAAGUGUAAAUCCUUAAAUCUUUGACCACCCAGCAUGCUAUCAGCAUAGUAGCAAAAUUUAUUCCAUCAAAAAUAUGACUUAUAAGAGAACAGCCAUAUCAUUAAAGGUACACUGAUCAAAGAAAAAGCAUCUACCCUAUCUACAUACAAUGCUUAAAAGAAAAAAAAGCACAUCCAAAGAUCCUCCAAAUUUGUAUUUUCCUUGCUUUUGCAUAUUUCCCUUCAACUGUCACCUAAUAUUUACAUUCAAUAAAACAUCACAAAGCCUAAUAAACUAUUUACACAGGAUUUACUCCUAAUUCUUCCUUAGGAAAAGAAUAUUCAAUCUACUCUGGGAGCAAAAAGAUAAUUCCAUAAUCUUUCUUCCUUAUAACAGAACCGAAUAAUCCUCCAAAUAUUUAUUUUUAAAUCUACAAAUUAAAAACAUCUAUAACAGUACACAUUCAAAUUAAAGUAAAAGAAUUUCUGCAAGGAAGUUAGAUGAGUAUGCCAGGAGAGGGAAAAAGCAGAACCUCAGAGGGGGAUUCUGAUUCUCCGGAAAAUAAUAAAGCAGGAAUAUGACUAAACAGCAAACUUGGCAAAUCGUGAAAAGUAUCUGUCCGUUCUUUCAAAGAUUUAUUUUUAUAGCCCUAGCUACUUGUUACCAGGAUGCCAGUUGGAAUCUAAAGGCCUUGAGUGAGCUAUAUGCACAGGCUUUCUAAAACCAUUCCAUCAAAGAAAGUUGCUAACAGCCCAAGGCAGAAUAGACACCAGCAACUAAUAAGUUUAGAGAACAGGACUGAGAAAAUGGACAAAUGAAGUAGAAAUCAACAUGAGUUUAUAAGAACUAAAAAACAGUAAGUACAGAAAAUGAAGUACAUUUAACUUAUAGAUAAUUGUUGUCAAUAAAAGAACUUUAAAAAAAAAAAAAGGAAGAAAGGAAAAAAACCCUGGAGAUUUAAUUCAAGAAAAACUUCCAGAAAGAAAAGAUUUAAAUCUAUAGACUAAGAAUUCAUCCAUUUCCAUACAUUCUAGUAAAGUUAAUGAACUAUGAAGAUUUAAAAAAUCCUCUUGGCAUCCAGUCAAAAAGAGCAAUUCACCUAUAAUGAUGAAAAGAAUCUUACUGACUUUUAAACUUCCACAUAUCAACAUUCAGCAUACACGCCAGAGGAGCAAUGCCUGUAACGACUUUAGGAAAUCAAAGUGUGAAGAAUUUUAUACCCAGCUAAACCGUUGUUUGAAAUUAAUGCAGAGGACAUACGUUUUUUAAAUGCAGCAACUUAGGGAAUAAUUUCCAUUCACCCUUCUUGAGGAAAUUUUUAUUAAAGGAUGAAAUACAUGUAACUAAAAGAUUAAUGGAGAAACUAUACCAGAAGUACUGGCAAUG